AUUCAGCUGACCACGAGUCCCAAAUAGGACGAAAUGCAUGUUGUCCUGGAU
rnacentral:hammerhead_ribozyme from 1 species